rnacentral:rRNA from 1 species
GACGAACGCUGGCGGCGUGCUUAACACAUGCAAGUCGAGGGACCGGCGCACGGGUGAGUAACACGUAUCCAACCUGCCCUUUACUCGGGGAUAGCCUUUCGAAAGAAAGAUUAAUACCCGAUAUAAAGGAUGGGGAUGCGUUUCAUUAGGUUGUUGGUGAGGUAACGGCCCACCAAGCCUUCGAUGGAUAGGGGUUCUGAGAGGAAGGGCCCCCACAUGUGAACCGGGGAACGGUCCCAACUCCGACGGGGGGGAGGAGUGAGGAAUAAUGGGUAAUGGGCGGUUGCCCGAACCCGCCAAGGAGGUUGAAGGAUGAAGGGUUAUGGGGUGUAAAACUUCUUUAUAUAAGAAUAUGUAUUAUAUGAAUAAGGAUCGGCUAACUCCGUGCCAGCAGCCGCGGUAAUAC